ACAGGGUUUUUUUUUUUCUCUGUAACAAUUCUAGUGCAGCAGUUCUAAUACCUGCUGUGUAGACCUGGCUGGCUUGACUUCACAGAGAUCCACCUGCCUCUGACUCCUGAGUGAUGGAAUCAGAGGCAUGUGACACCACUGCCUGGUUAGAAAUAAAUAAUAUUUGUGGAAGUCUCACAUGGAUAUGACAUCUUUUUCAUCAUGACACUGCUUUUCAUUGAAAAUCAGUGUUUGAUGUAGCCACUUUCCUUAAUUGUUUCCUUUGUGUCUGCUUGAUAGCUUGUUUAAGCAUCUGGAUCAGUAAUACAGUUUUUUGUUAAGGAAAUGACCUGUAUACCUAAAAUACAUUAACCAACCUAUCCUAAAUAUCAGGAAGCCAGCUAACAAAAAAUGACCUUUAGACUUAUUAUUAAAUAUGAAAACUUGGCCUAUAGCUUAGGCUUAUCCCUCUGGCUCUUAUAACUUAAAUUAACCCAUUUUUAUUCAUCUAUGUGUUGCCACAUGACUCAUGAACCUUUCCUUCCCUCCUGCACGUCUUGAUCCCUCUGCCCUGCUGAUGACUCCGCUGUUCUUCCUAGAGUUCUCUGUCCAGAAGUCAUGCCUAUCCUCUUUCUGUAAAACCAAUCAGAAGAUACCUUGGCAAAUACAUAUCUAUACAGUUGUAAAAAAAUAUUCCACAACACCUAAAUGAAAUAUUUUAUAAUUUUAUUCUCUUAACUGUCAAGGGAAUGACAGAUGAACUCUAUUUUCUUUCAGUAAUUAGAGGGUGAUUACACUUUGAGUGUUUUUGAAUUUCAAGGAACAAGGAGGCCUACGGAAAAGGGAAGAAAAGGAAAGGAAUGAUAGUAAAUUAAUCUUGGGUUAGUAGAUGAUCACUGAUCAUGGCUAAUUUUGAUAAUGAGUUCUCAGUAGGUGUAGGAGGCAGUUCUCUGUCACGUAUCAAUUUUUUCAAUGAUUUACUUCUGGGAAGGGAUGAUUAUUGACUAGUGUUUUGAAAUCUUUAAUCUCUUAUUCUAAAAUCUUUGAUCUCUUAUUCUAAAAUCUUUGAUCUCAUAUUCUAUUGAUAACAAUGUGUUUGUCCCGCUGCAUUUAUUAUUCAUUUGCAUAUUUAUUCAGUUACAUUUUAAGUGGAAAUUGAACUCAGUGGCCAUGAGUACAGUUUCUUCUGUAGUGGGAAAUGGAGGAGUCAGGUAUUUGUGUGGGGUUUUUUUUGGCUUGUGUUUUGUCUUUUUGGUUUGAUGUGGGUUUUGGUGAUUUUUCCCUUUUGAAACAUGAUUUCAUUAUGUCAUUUAGCCAAACUGGCAUCCAGGUCACAAUAUUCUUGCCUCAAGCUUCCAAGUGUGGGAAUACAGGCUUAUUUAUUUCUUCACUUUCAUUAAGUGUGUGUGUGUGAGAGAGAGAGUGUGUGUGCAUGCAUGCGGGUGUGAAUUCAUAAUGGGCACCAAAGCUUUCUCUGUCAUGGUGUUCUUGUGGCAAUCUGAAGUUGUAUUUCAGGAAUCAUUUCUUUUUUACUUCAUUGUCAAGUUCUCUAUUAUAUAAAGCUUAUCAAUGAUUCUCAUGAUAGGAUCUUGUCCUUUGAUAAAACAACUGUCUGUAUUUUUAAAUCUUGUGAAAUUUUAUGUGUGUGUUUUUGUGAGAGAAUUUAUGAAUGGAUAUUGAGGCUUGAACUCAGGACCACCUGUAUAUCUCAUUAGGGUACUAACCACACACUUAGCCUGCACUCUUCACAUUGUUUUUGUGUUGUUAAUUUAACUCAGAAUCUUGUCAUGUGGCACAAUUGCUCUAUCGGUGAACCAUACAUCUAUAGCUUGAGUUUCUUUUCUCAACCUCACUGUCUUUCCUAUGUCAUCAGUGCCAAGAGACUACAUACCACAUUCCAUUUUUUACAUAGUUUUUGGUAAAUACCUUGUAGAGGACCUUGGCUGGAUUUAUGAUGAGCUGUGUUUAUUGAGCAUGAUGAAAUAAGGCUCAAAAUGGUUACUCUGAAGUCUAGCCAAAGUGUCCGUUUAAUGACUUAGGUAACAAAAUUUUUAAACUUAAGUCAUUGCAACAUGGUAUCACAAUUUUUUUCAAGGAGACUGGAGCUGUAGAUUUUUCCAAUAUAGUAAAAUUUGUUUUAGACCUUUUACUUUUCCUUAUUUGAAGUGCCUCUAUACUCCCAUCACAUAGUAGCUUUCACUUUCCAUUCCAUUUAAUAAAGAAACUUGAGAAGGACCUUUGAAGUUAAUGUGGAUCUUCUAGUCACCCAGUUCUUCCCUUUGGGAUAAUUUCUUGAACAUGUUCCUAGUCAUUCUGACUGCUUUUCCAUUUACCACAUUGAGAUAUUACUAGAAUGUUAGUAAGGUAUUUGUGUUGAGCUUUGGUUUUCAAGACAGGAAUUCUCUGUGUAACAUUCAGUUCUGGCUGUCCUGGAACUUGCUUUGUAGACCAUACUUGCUUCAAACUCACUGAAAUUUUCCUUCCUCUGCCUCCCAAGUGCUAGGAUUAAAGGCGUGCACCCCCCACCAGUGGCAUUCACUGAUUUUGAGUAAGAUAGGAAUUUGAUAUUUUACCAGAAUGCUGAGAAUGAAUUCAGAGAGGAAUUUCUAGACUUGUUUUUAUGACAAGUUGAAAAGGAUUUAAUAGAUGAGAGGAUACCAUUUUUAGAGUGUCCUAUGUGAUGCAUUUCACAUGGCUUGACCUCAUUAAAAAGGUAUCAGGUUUGAUUUGUGGAUGAAUCAGAUGCAAAAGAAUAUUAUUGCCUUCAUGAUAAUAGAGAUUUCUAUGAACAUAAAUCAGCUCCAUGAGUUUUUUAGCAUUUUAAAAAGUAUUCUUAUAGAGCCCACCCCCCACAAGCACAAUGUACUAGUGUGUCAUUGUGUACCUAAAAGAUCCAACAGGGUAGAAAUUUAAUGAGAAAUUUCUGUUCAGUUUUUAUGAUUUUCAAUUGUGUUUUAUAUAUAAAUGCAGAGUUCUUUUUAAUCACAAAAAUCCCCAUGUAUGAAAAUAGGAUUGGACAGAAAAUCAGCUUGAGUCAAGGAAUAUAACAUCAAGUAAUUUUUAGUUAUUUUGUCCAUAUUAGUCCCCAAAUAUCAUUUUUAAUCCAAAGCCAUGUGGCAUUCUAUAUUUGUAUAUAUCAAAUUAUUUUUCAUUCAUAUUUGUAUCACAUGUUUAUAAAUUAACAUUUAUAUGGGUUUUGAUAUGUUAUAAAUAAAAUGUAUAAUUUCUGUUUUACAUUUCUAGUCUUUGAUAAGAGUAUGAUUGUCCCAAAUUACAUGGAUGUAUAUAGUUUUAUAUACUUAUUAACUUACAAAUUUCUCUAUACUUAGAUAAAACAGUAGUCACUAAGAUACAAGCUUAGAAUUUGUUGUUACCACAAACUAUUAUGUGGUUUAUUAAGUAGUAUGAUACAGCAGUGUUAUUCCUGUUGUUCAUUGUGAAUUGUGAAGGCAAACAUUUUAUUUUUUUAUCUUAAAAUUGCUAUGUCAUACUUUGGAUUUACAAAUUUAGUUGGUUCCACUUAUCAAACACUAUGUUUCUGUUAUUGAACCUUCCAUGCUUCUGUCAGUCAUGUUUUUAGUAAUUAAAUCAAUGAUUGUCAGUAAAGUAAGCUACAUUUAACCAUUCACUCUGGUAAAUAUUUGUGAGGAUUAUAACAGUUGUAGGUUUAAUUAACAUAUUAUAAAUACUUUUAUCCUCUCUAAUUCUCAACUUAUUUCUGAUGUGUUUAUUCAUUUUUAAAAAUAUGGUCUGACCUUAUUUAACUAGUGCAGAAGUAAGAAAGUAAAUCUGCAUAGAAUGUGUAGAAACACCAACUUCCAGGAAAUACCACACACACACACACACAUAUAUUCAAUCUUAACAUUAGAAGUAUCAACCUCUUAUUUUUGAAUUUAAUUUAUAUGUUUAUUUGAGCUUCUUUACAUUUAUAUAUGCCUAUAUGUAUAAAUUCUGAUUACAUUUUCUGAGUAUAUUUUAGUUUUAAAAUUUAGGAUUAAUGCGGUGUGUGGUAGAAUAUAAUGUACUAAAUCUCAGCAUAAUGUUUUAACUGUAUGUAGUUACGUUAUAUUUUAAAAACUUAUAAAAACUUAACAGAGAGAGACUCUGUUAACACAUGUAUUAAUAGCUGUGUUUAAAACAUUGACUGCUCAUGGUUUAAAUUUUAAAUUUAUAUUGAUUAUAAGAAAAGAAAUUUACUUUUUUGUACUAAAAUAUCUAUCUUUAUGUUUUGGUGUGAUAGUUGAAUUACCUGAACAUUGUGUUAACAAUGGCC
ensembl:lncRNA